AUGCAUGCUGUGCAAGUAGUUGGUUAUGUAUGAGGGUAGCUCUUCUCCAAGUGUGGGAAAGCGAUGCAGAUGAAUGAUGAUUAUAUAUGUAUUAUAUAAUAUUAACCCAUCCGUUCUGCAUACCAUUUCAUUUUAGAGUGCAAGUCGUGGUCUAUUUAGUAAGAAUCAGAAGCACGACGGAAGUCCAACAUACAUGAGGAUAGCUAUGACAUCGAAUGGGACCGACACCAACUGGCACCGACACCAACUGGCACCGACACCAACUGGCACCGACACCAACUGGCACCGACACCAACUGGCACCGACACCAACUGGCACCGACACCAACUGGUAGAGACACUGACUGGUACCAACUGAACAAAAACAGCACAGUGGGGAUCAUUUGAAUUUACUAGAACACUUCAGCUUUAAACUCGCGGUUUCCCAAAUUGAAUCUCGGAAAAUGCGCCAAAUUUUGAAUUGGUGAUAUUCCAUACGUCGUAUCCUUAUGAUAAAACCCCCGGUAAUGUCAUCUAAUACCACUUGGCCUCUUAAAAUUGUCUCCUUCAUUGUAAAUGAAAUGAAAAUGAUCCACUCUUCCACCGAAAAUUACCUACAGGAGCCUCCACUUUACGUGAGAUAUGAUUAAAAAUUUCUACGAGUGGCCACUCCUCCAAAAGCUGGCAGAAAGAGGACGCAUCAACCAAGCAACCUUGAAGUCCCUUUGCUGCUCCUUAUCUUUGAAGCCCUGGAUAAGUCAUAGAAAGCUUGAAAAGGCUCAUUAUCAAAUUCUACUUCUCCGCCGUCAAAUCCGACAAGGCUUUGUGGUCACGGAAGAGCAGGAAAUAAUCGCUUACGGGCGUUAUGCUGAAGCUUUAAGUAGAUUGGAGGAUUUGACAGAUUAUCAAUUUUCGCCCCCCAGAAACACAAUGCUCAAUGCUACACGCCAGAACAGUGUCUCUUGCAGUUUACAAUUUCAACAGACGUUCUCUUGCCAGAAAACAAAACUAGAUUAGAAAACUAACAACAUCAGAUACAGUCCUGGAAGUGGUUAAAAUGCUUCAUGUCCUCCCUUCAAGUUUAUUGUGUUUUCUGCCUUCUCUGAUCGACCUCGGUGCGUGAUUCGUUGGUGUCAGGCUUGUUCAGAAAGGAUGGAUGGUCCAACGUGAAAGUACUGUAGCUAAUUGUAGAAUUGGCAUAUCAUAGCCUUACACUGCGUACUUAGCUGCUUCUGUUUCCUACUUCUAAUCUUAUUGAUUGAUCUUAAAGUAUUGUCAUGGUAUUUUACUAUUUUCUAUACAGCAUUUUCCUUGUGAGAAAGCCAUUCCUAUGAACUCGCUCUGUUGCCUCAUAUAUAGUCCAAUGAGGCCUCUGUCCAAUAAGUCUCAACUCGAGAUUUUCAAGAUCUCCACGUAGCACUAAAUGGCCUUUUAUGUCCUCCGCUGAUUCCCAUAUACGGGCAUGUACUUUUCGUUUGUGAAUACGAACUAUCAGAAACGCUCUUCGGCAUGGUUUGAACACAAAUAAACCACCCGUACUGACUCCUGGGCCAAAUCGGGCAGUUUCGUCUUGGUCGUGUAAGACUCGAUGGCAAGGAAGACGGAAAUUGCCAUACACGCUCCCAGUUUCCUUCUCAUGCAAUAUAUAAUAUCCAGACUCUAUUUCUCUCAGAAAGCAUUUUCCAACAAAACCACAAAUUUGUCCAAUACCUGAUUCUUUUCUCUCCCAUCUGAAAAUCUGCUUGUUCGCAUCCCAGAGCCUGAGGAAUUUUGACGACUGUACCAGGACAUCAGAGGCAAAACCAUCGAUCUGGUAAAUAUCUGGUCCUGUGACUGUCCAGAUAUUAUAACUUUGCAGUUUAAAUUCGAGGCAGCCUUUUGUAUCACUGCAAAAGCCUCGGUCCCGACCAUUUUUCGGUAUCGUCCGCUGGAAUAAAAAUAAGCGAGGCCCCAAACUAAUCAGGGAUACCGUAUCUCGUUUUCUUAACAAGAGAUUCCCUGCAUCUGUAUUUCCGUCGCAUGUCCAAUGAUACAAUCGGUUGGUCACAUGAAUCCCAGAUUCACCUACUUUAAUGCUGAAUCCGUCGCGCUGAUACACAGAGCUGUCAAGAGUAACGGCGGGGACACUUUGAGUCCAUAUAGGCUCACUUCUGUGAUUUAACUGCAAGAACCCAUUCCGCACACCGAUACUGCAUGCCAGGUCCCAACGCCCCUCUGGCAGCAGAGGCGGGGUUUCCUCCCCGGACGUACUUGGCACAGUCCGAUUAUCACUCUCGGAAUACGGCGGCGGCGGGUCAUUGAUGCUGUCAAUGAAGGGCGAAUCUACCAGGAGAAAAUUAGACAACGGACAAAGUAAUGAAGAUACAUCAAAGCACCCACGCCUGUCAUCGCAUAUCAUAGCGGGCUGACUGAGAGUAGUCAGGGAUUUAGCUGAUCUAGACACUUAAGCAGUGAACGCAAGGUAGAUUUACUGCCGAAAUGCUGUGGUACGCCGUGGAAUGUUCGAUGGCGGGAGUAACGACAACGAUCCAGUUAGUAAUUAUAGUAACAGUACUCUGCCCCCUUAAAACAAGAUUCAAUAAUGCCCCACUGAACAAGGCAAAUUGAACGCUAUCAUUGACCCACAUAGCAAGCCGAUCCUGAAUGGCACAAAUGCGAAUUGGAACUGACACCAAUUGGAACUAACACCAACUGGAGGUGACACCAACUGGAGGUGACGCCAAUUGGAGGUGACGCCAAUUGGAGGUGACGCCAACUGGAGGUGACGCCAAUUGGAGGUGACACCAGCUCGAACCAAUACUCUAUGAGAAAUUUAGCCUCGACAUCGAUAUAGCGCCCUCGAACAUUUUUCAGAACGUCAAGUCCAACUAAUGAUCCCAGAUUACAACAACUACAGUAAUCUAACCGCUUGCAUUGCAUCAAACAGAUGGAGGUUUCCGCAAAAUUCGAUGAUAAGCAAUUGGAGGACGAGAUUCAGCAACAACUACGAAAUGAAUGGAGGUAUAGUCUUCGAAUAUGUGCGCUAAUACGACGACCGAACACGCUUUUCCCCCCCGCAAUCGCCGAUUUCGUCAGAUAUACAUUCCCAGGACAAAACGAAAGCCACCUCAAAGAGAAAGAAGUAGGCGACAUAAGAAUGUCAUAUCAAUCCCCUAUAUUUAGCAAAUUGUCGGAUCGCAUCCACAGAAGAAUCGAAAAUGUAAUUGAAAGUCGGAAACAUCGUGAUCUAGUGUCAAGUAUGCCGUGGUCGUCUAAUGCAACUUCACGAGCAACUAAGAUACGGUUAAGCUCGUUACAGCCCAUGUGGAGGGAGUCUACUGCUCGAAAUGCAAUCACAGAAAAGUACAAAAGACAGCGGUUACGAGGACAGAGAUGGGAUGAAGUAUCCACGAAACUUUCUUAUGGCUGUUUGAUUUUGGCCGGUGGCCCUUUGUACUCACGAGUUGAAAACUGGGCAUAUCCUUGGAUGAAGACUGACGACCUCGUCGAAUACAUUUGCCAUUACUAUCCAGAAGCCGUGCGAAUAUUUAGUCUACUCGACCCGUUCGUUAGGUGUUUGUUGAGCGAGGCGCCUCUUCCUGAGAUUGACUCGGACGACAUUGCGAAUAGAAUCGAGGUUUUCCUAACUCAGUGAUCAGUAUAGGAGUUCUUUGUUGAGAAAUAUGGGGUCUUUCUCAUUGGUACCGUCUUCACAGUAAUGUUCCCAAAAGUUCUUGUGCCCAAACAAAGAAAGUAGAGAUGUGGCUGGCCAUUGUGAUUU
rnacentral:lncRNA from 1 species